rnacentral:rRNA from 1 species
UGAGUUUGAUCAUGGCUCANNUUGAACGCUGGCGGCAGGCCUAACACAUGCAAGUCGGGCGGUAACAGGAAUAGCUUGCUAUUUGCUGACGAGCGGCGGACGGGUGAGUAAUGCAUAGGAAUCUGCCUGGUAGUGGGGGAUAGCCCAGAGAAAUUUGGAUUAAUACCGCAUACGCCCUACGGGGGAAAGCAGGGGAUCUUCGGACCUUGCGCUAUCAGAUGAGCCUAUGUCGGAUUAGCUUGUUGGUGAGGUAACGGCUCACCAAGGCGACGAUCCGUAGCUGGUCUGAGAGGAUGAUCAGCCACACUGGGACUGAGACACGGCCCAGACUCCUACGGGAGGCAGCAGUGGGGAAUAUUGGACAAUGGGCGCAAGCCUGAUCCAGCCAUGCCGCGUGUGUGAAGAAGGCCUUCGGGUUGUAAAGCACUUUCAGCGAGGAGGAAAGGGGAGUUGCUAAUAUCAACGCCCUGUGACGUUACUCGCNGAAGAAGCACCGGCUAACUCCGUGCCAGCAGCC